rnacentral:rRNA from 1 species
AUUGAACGCUGGCGGCAGGCCUAACACAUGCAAGUCGAACGGUAGCACAGAGAGCUUGCUCUCGGGUGACGAGUGGCGGACGGGUGAGUAAUGUCUGGGAAACUGCCCGAUGGAGGGGGAUAACUACUGGAAACGGUAGCUAAUACCGCAUAACGUCCCAAGACAAACGUGGGGGCCAUUCGGCCCUCACACCAUCCGAUGUUACCAGAUGGGAUGAGCUAGUAGGUGGGGUAAUGGCUCACCUAGGUGACGAUCACUAGCUGGUCUGAGAGGAUGACCAGCCACACUGGAACUGAGGCACGGUCCAGACUACUACGGGAGGCAGCAGUGGGGAAUAUUGCACAAUGGGCGCAAGCCUGAUGCAGCCAUGCCGCGUGUAUGAAGAAGGCCUUCGGGUUGUAAAGUACUUUCAGCGGGGAGGAAGGCGGUGAAGUUAAUAACUUCACCGAUUGACGUUACCCGCAGAAGAAGCACCGGCUAACUCCGUGCCAGCCGCCGCGGUAA